rnacentral:snRNA from 1 species
AGCUUUGCGCAGUGGCGAUAUCGUAACCAAUGAGGUACAACCGAGGUGCGAUUAUUGCUAGUUUAAACUCCCGAAUCUUGGUAAUGACCCAGUGUAGAGCUCUCACCAAUGCACAGUGGGAAAAAAUAGGUAUAAAACGCGAAUAAAUUCAAUAUAUCUGCUCGGACUGGAUGGAUUGGAAUGAAUUUUUGACACAAACUGCAAAAGUCUCUACAGUUU